GAUGAACGCUAGCUACAGGCUUAACACAUGCAAGUCGAGGGGAAACGGCAUCGAAAGCUUGCUUUUGAUGGGCGUCGACCGGCGCACGGGUGAGUAACGCGUAUCCAACCUGCCCAUCACUUGGGAAUAACCUUGCGAAAGUAAGACUAAUGCCCAAUGACAUCCCACGAAGGCAUCCGAAUGGGAUUAAAGAUUUAUCGGUGAUGGAUGGGGAUGCGUCUGAUUAGCUUGUUGGCGGGGUGACGGCCCACCAAGGCAACGAUCAGUAGGGGUUCUGAGAGGAAGGUCCCCCACAUUGGAACUGAGACACGGUCCAAACUCCUACGGGAGGCAGCAGUGAGGAAUAUUAGUCAAUGGGCGAGAGCCUGAACCAGCCAAGUAGCGUGCAGGAUGACGGCCCUAUGGGUUGUAAACUGCUUUUAUAAGGGAAUAAAGUGGGUCACGUGUGACUUUUUGCAUGUACCUUAUGAAUAAGGACCGGCUAAUUCCGUG
rnacentral:rRNA from 1 species